CAGCAGCCGCAGUAAUACAGAGGGUGCGAGCGUUAAUCGGAUUUACUGGGCGUAAAGCGUGCGUAGGCGGCUAAUUGAGUCGGAUGUGAAAUCCCCGAGCUUAACUUGGGAAUUGCAUUCGAUACUGGUUAGCUAGAGUGUGGGAGAGGAUGGUAGAAUUCCAGGUGUAGCGGUGAAAUGCGUAGAGAUCUGGAGGAAUACCGAUGGCGAAGGCAGCCAUCUGGCCUAACACUGACGCUGAGGUACGAAAGCAUGGGGAGCAAACAGGAUUAGAGACCCCUGUAGUCCCUGUCUCUUAUAC
rnacentral:rRNA from 1 species